rnacentral:lncRNA from 1 species
UGAAAGAUAGUCAGCUAAACUCAGUGCACAAAUGACAUAUGUAUAAAUGUUGAAUACAUUUAACAAAACUCUUAACUUCACUACUGGCUCAGUAAUGUCACAUAAAUUAGGACACAUUUAUUUUUCAUCAGAGUUAGCUAACUUUUAUUUGGUCAUAAAUUUUAAAGUUAAACCUUGAAAAUAUUGAGUUUUUGAAAUUAAUUUUGGAACUUGAAAUUGUGUUAAUUUGACAUACAUUUUACUUGAAAAAAUUUGAUGUUUUGUAAGUGGAAGUGUUGCCUGUUUGAAAACUUAAAAAUAUCUUAAGAUUAAAAUUUUAAAAGCUAAGUUAAAAUUUAUGAUCAAACGCUAGCUCAAUAUUGCUUAAUUGAUAGACAUCUUAAUCAAUUAGUGCACUUAAUUUAUGAUUGGAUUAACUAAUGCAGGG